rnacentral:sRNA from 15 species
GGUGCGGUCGGAUGUCUGCUGCUAAUGCAGACCCCUGUGGCAGGGGCGCGCUAUAUCGUUAAUGGUGCCUGCGGGCAUGACUGGAGA